rnacentral:rRNA from 1 species
GUCUAUGGCUAUGCUACCCUGAACAAGCCUGAUCCUGUUUGAUCUCAGAAGCUAAGCAUGGUUGGGCCUGGUAGUACUUGGAUGGGAGACCACCUAGGAAGACCAGAUGCUGUAGGCG